UGCAAAAAUAACGAAGAAAUAAGCAGUAAGACGAAAAGAAAGAGGAAAUGAUAAGCGGUAUAUAAAAGAGACGUAUAGAACCACGACGGGUGCAACGUGACCGAGAAACCACGUGAUCGAAUUGACCAAUUGCAAUGUACGCGAGGACACUGUCACGUUGCAUUCGGCGUGGCUCCGCGUUCCCCUUGCUCUUACAGCCUAUCAUUCCUUCUCUAUUUCUGCUGGACAAGUUGUACAUUGGCAUAUGCGAGCAACUGUUCCUUGUGCGACGUGUCCCAUAGCAAUUUGUUGCAAAUUUCACGAGUUUAUUCUUUUCUUGUAAAGGCUAGAAAAGUUUUGUUGUCCGAAACAAGUGCAUCAAGUUUUGUCGCUCGUAAUAACAAACCUCCACAGUGCGUUCCUAUGUGCGAUCCGAUGCAUUGUAAUUCUCGGGUGAUCGUUUCAUGAUUUGAACGUAUAAAACAUUGAAUCAAGUGUGCGUAUAUGCGCGCGUGUAUGUGUGUGGUGCUUCCUCAAAUUCCGAUAAGCUUAUCCAAUACAUCGAAAAGCCAACAACAAGUAAUAAUAUCGCAUUCGGAUAUAUUAAAAUGUUCGCGCUUUCACACGACUAAAAUAUUCUCCGGUAUCGUCCAUCGAGCUUUUGUGCUCACCUUUUUCAUUGUCUUGCUCCACUGUGAUAACUUCCAUUUGACAUACAAGCGGAAGAACUAUCAAGCUCUGAGAAUAAAAAAUUUAAAAGACUCUAGAAACGUAAUUGAAGUAUAACAAAAGGGAGAGCGAGAGAGAGGGAGAGAGAAAGGCAAAAGGAAGCAAGAAUUUUGGUGAAAUGGACAUAACGUGUGCGUAUGCGUGGGUGCACAUAUGAACGCGCGCGCCUACGCGCGCAUGUGUUUGCAUGUGCGCGUAUGCGUAUGUAUGCGAAAACAAA